GUGGGGAAUCUUGCACAAUGGGCGAAAGCCUGAUGCAGCCAUGCCGCGUGAAUGAUGAAGGCCUUAGGGUUGUAAAAUUCUUUCGUCAGGGAUGAUAAUGACCGUACCUGAAGAAGAAGCCCCGGCUAACUUCGUGCCAGCAGCCGCGGUAAUACGAAGGGGGCUAGCGUUGUUCGGAAUUACUGGGCGUAAAGCGCACGUAGGCGGACUUUUAAGUCAGGUGUGAAAUCCCGGGGCUCAACCUCGGAACUGCAUUUGAAACUGGAAGUCUUGAGAUCAGGAGAGGUUAGCGGAAUACCGAGUGUAGAGGUGAAAUUCGUAGAUAUUCGGUGGAACACCAGUGGCGAAGGCGGCUAACUGGACUGAUACUGACGCUGAGGUGCGAAAGUGUGGGGAGCAAACAGGAUUAGAAACCCGAGUAGUCC
rnacentral:rRNA from 1 species